rnacentral:rRNA from 1 species
UGGGGAAUAUUGCACAAUGGGCGAAAGCCUGAUGCAGCAACGCCGCGUGAGUGAUGAAGGCCUUCGGGUUGUAAAGCUCUGUCUUUUGGGACGAUAAUGACGGUACCAAAGGAGGAAGCCACGGCUAACUACGUGCCAGCAGCCGCGGUAAUACGUAGGUGGCAAGCGUUGUCCGGAUUUACUGGGCGUAAAGGAUGCGUAGGCGGAUUUUUAAGUGAGAUGUGAAAACCCUAAGCUUAACUUGGGGACUGCAUUUCAUACUGGAAAUCUAGAGUGCGGGAGAGGAGGAUGGAAUUCCUAGUGUAGCGGUGAAAUGCGUAGAGAUUAGGAAGAACACCAGUGGCGAAGGCGAUUCUCUGGACCGUAACUGACGCUGAGGCAUGAAAGCGUGGGUAGCAAACAGGAUUAGAUACCCUGGUAGUCCACGCCGUAAACGAUGAGUACUAGGUGUAGGAGGUAUCGACCCCUUCUGUGCCGCAGUUAACACAAUAAGUACUCCGCCUGGGAAGUACGAUCGCAAGAUUAAAACUUAAAGGAAUUGACGGGGUCAUAGC